UACGUAGGGUGCAAGCGUUGUCCGGAAUUAUUGGGCGUAAAGAGCUCGUAGGCGGUCUGUCGCGUCGGCUGUGAAAACCCGGGGCUCAACCCCGGGCCUGCAGUCGAUACGGGCAGACUAGAGUGCGGUAGGGGAGACUGGAAUUCCUGGUGUAGCGGUGGAAUGCGCAGAUAUCAGGAGGAACACUGAUGGCGAAGGCAGAUCUCUGGGCCGUAACUGACGCUGAGGAGCGAAAGCAUGGGGAGCGAACAGG
rnacentral:rRNA from 1 species